GACGUAGGGCGCGAGCGUUGUCCGGAUUUAUUGGGCGUAAAGAGCUCGUAGGCGGCUUGUCACGUCGGGGUGUGAAAGCCCCGGGGCUUAACCCCGGGUCUGCAUUCGAUACGGGCUAGCUAGAGUGUGGUAGGGGGAGAUCGGAAUUCCUGGUGUAGCGGUGAAAUGCGCAGAUAUCAGGAGGAACACCGGUGGCGAAGGCGGAUCUCUGGGCCAUUACUGACGCUGAGGAGCGAAAGCGUGGGGAGCGAACAGG
rnacentral:rRNA from 1 species